rnacentral:rRNA from 1 species
CCUACGGGGGGCAGCAGUGGGGAAUAUUGGACAAUGGGCGAAAGCCUGAUCCAGCCAUGCCGCGUGUGUGAAGAAGGCCUUCGGGUUGUAAAGCACUUUCAGUGGGGAAGAAAGCCUUGGGGCUAAUACCCUCGAGGAAGGACAUCACCCACAGAAGAAGCACCGGCUAACUCCGUGCCAGCAGCCGCGGUAAUACGGAGGGUGCGAGCGUUAAUCGGAAUUACUGGGCGUAAAGCGCGCGUAGGCGGUCUGGUAAGCCGGUUGUGAAAGCCCCGGGCUCAACCUGGGAACGGCAUCCGGAACUGUCAGGCUAGAGUGCAGGAGAGGAAGGUAGAAUUCCCGGUGUAGCGGUGAAAUGCGUAGAGAUCGGGAGGAAUACCAGUGGCGAAGGCGGCCUUCUGGACUGACACUGACGCUGAGGUGCGAAAGCGUGGGUAGCAAACAGGAUUAGAUACCCGGGUAGUC